ACUUCAUAAAUGUUUUCGUCUGUUAUUGACGUGCUCGGGCGUCCGGUACGCCUGAAGACGACCCUAGUUGGACCUAGAACGGCCUGAGGUAGAGGGGUUUUAGUCGGGUAGGUCCGAGGAUUUCUUCCUCGGGAAUCCGACACUACCCAGUCGUACGGACGGCUGGGUGUCUUUUGAAGAUUUCCCCUCUUCCACGAAA
rfam:Agrilus planipennis Contig37239, whole genome shotgun sequence.